AUUGAACGCUGGCGGCAGGCUUAACACAUGCAAGUCGAGCGAGCGGCGGAAGGGUGAGUAAUGUCUGUGAAACUGCCUGAUGGAGGGGGAUAACUACUGGAAACGGUAGCUAAUACCGCAUACCAUCAGAUGUGCCCAGAUGGGCUUAGCUAGUAGGUGGGGUAAUCGCUCACCUAGGCGACGAUCCCUAGCUGGUCUUAGAGGAUGACCAGCCACACUUGAACUGAGACACGGUCCAUACUCCUACGGUAGGCAGCAGUGGUGAAUAUUGCACAAUGGGCGCAAGCCGGAUGCAUCCAUGCCGCGUGUAUGAAGAAGUCCUUCGGGUUGUAAAGUACUUUCAGCGGGGAGGCGUUACCCGCAGAAGAAGCACCGGCUAACUCCGUGCCAGCAGCCGCGGUAAUUC
rnacentral:rRNA from 1 species